rnacentral:rRNA from 1 species
GAUGAACGCUGGCGGCGUGCCUAAUACAUGCAAGUCGAGCGAACGGACGAGAAGCUUGCUUCUCUGAUGUUAGCGGCGGACGGGUGAGUAACACGUGGAUAACCUACCUAUAAGACUGGGAUAACUUCGGGAAACCGGAGCUAAUACCGGAUAAUAUUUUGAACCGCAUGGUUCAAAAGUGAAAGACGGUCUUGCUGUCACUUAUAGAUGGAUCCGCGCUGCAUUAGCUAGUUGGCAAGGUAACGGCUUACCAAGGCAACGAUGCAUAGCCGACCUGAGAGGGUGAUCGGCCACACUGGAACUGAGACACGGUCCAGACUCCUACGGGAGGCAGCAGUAGGGAAUCUUCCGCAAUGGGCGAAAGCCUGACGGAGCAACGCCGCGUGAGUGAUGAAGGUCUUCGGAUCGUAAAACUCUGUUAUUAGGGAAGAACAUAUGUGUAAGUAACUGUGCACAUCUUGACGGUACCUAAUCAGAAAGCCACGGCUAACUACGUG